AAAGGAAUAGACGGGGGCCCGCACAAGCAGCGGAGCAUGUGGUUUAAUUCGAAGCAACGCGAAGAACCUUACCAGAGCUUGACAUCUCCUGCAUAAUCCGUAAUGGGAUGAAAUCCUUUUAGGACAGGAAGACAGGUGGUGCAUGGUUGUCGUCAGCUCGUGUCGUGAGAUGUUGGGUUAAGUCCCGCAACGAGCGCAACCCCUAUACUUAGUUGCCAUCAUUAAGUUGGGCACUCUAAGUAGACUGCCGGAGACAAUUCGGAGGAAGGUGGGGAUGACGUCAAAUCAUCAUGCCCCUUAUGUUCUGGGCUACACACGUGCUACAAUGGGUAUAACAACGGGAAGCAAGCCAGCGAUGGUGAGCAAAUCCCUAAAAAAUACUCCCAGUUCAGAUUGUUCUCUGCAACUCGAGAACAUGAAGUCGGAGUUGCUAGUAAUCGCGAAUCAGCAUGUCGCGGUGAAUACGUUCCCGGGCCUUGCACACACCGCCCGU
rnacentral:rRNA from 1 species